AUGGAGAUCGAGAUCAAGCCCCUUCCAGCCUCUCCUCCUUCCUCGCGCCCCGCCUGCUCCGCACCGACGCCCCCGCGCGGCCCCUCGCCGCCGCCGCCGCCGCCACCGCCGCCCAGCGGGACGUCCGCCUCUACGGCACCGACGACCGCGACCCCUCCCGCGCCGUCCUCACGCUCAAGCGCCGCCCGCGCAUCGAUGCCGGCGUCAGCUGCGUUGAGGAGUUCGUGGAGCCCCUCGACCCCGCCCUCGCCCUCACCUGCAUCGACAACCCUGCCCGUCUCGGUGCGGUCGACUCCCCCUGCUUGGUCUUCCUUCUUCGUUACUUUUAGAAAAGCAGGGUAA
rnacentral:rRNA from 1 species